UACGGGGGGGGCAAGCGUUGUUCGGAAUUACUGGGCGUAAAGGGCUCGUAGGUGGCCAACUAAGUCAGACGUGAAAUCCCCUCAGCUUAACUGGGGAACUGCGUCUGAUACUGGAUGGCUUGAGUUUGGGAGAGGGAUGCGGAAUUCCAGGUGUAGCGGUGAAAUGCGUAGAUAUCUGGAGGAACACCGGUGGCGAAGGCGGCAUCCUGGACCAAUACUGACACUGAGGAGCGAAAGCCAGGGGAGCAAACGGG
rnacentral:rRNA from 1 species